rnacentral:rRNA from 1 species
AGGCCUCAUACAUGCAAGUCGAACGAGAAAGUAUCUUCGGAUACGAGUACAGUGGCGGACGGGUGAGUAACACAUAGGAAUCUACCCAAUGGAGGGGGAUAGCUCGAGGAAACUCGAAUUAAUACCGCAUAAUCUCCACGGAGUAAAGAGGGCUUCGGCUCUUGCCAUCGGAUGAGCCUAUGCAGGAUUAGCUUGUUGGUGAGGUAAAAGCUCACCAAGGCAACGAUCCUUAGCUGGUUUGAGAGGAUGACCAGCCACAUCGGGACUGAGACACGGCCCGGACUUCUACGGAAGGCAGCAGUAGGGAAUAUUGGACAAUGAGCGAAAGCUUGAUCCAGCCAUGCCGCGUGUGCGAUGACGGCCUUCGGGUUGUAAAGCACUUUAGGUAACGAGGAAAAGUUAGGUGUUAAUACCAUCUAACCUUGACGUUAAUUACAGAAUAAGCACCGGCUAAAUCCG